rnacentral:rRNA from 1 species
GACGAACGCUGGCGGCGUGCUUAACACAUGCAAGUCGAGCGGAGCGGCGAACGGGUGAGUAACGCGUGAGUAACUGCCCCCCUCUCUGGGAUAACAGUUGGAAACGGAUGCUAAUACCGGAUAGUGGGGGAUGACUCGCGUCCUAUCAGCUUGUUGGUGGGGUAUUGGCCUACCAAGGCGACGACGGGUAGCCGGCCUGAGAGGGCGACCGGCCCCAGUGUGCUGGGAUACGGCCAAAACGGCUACUGGGGGCAGCAGUGGAGAAUAUUGCACAAAGGGGGAAACCAUGAAGCAGGAACGCCGCGUGCGGGAUGACGGCCUUCGGGUUGUAAACCGCUUUCAGCCAUGACGCGGUAGUGGCAGAAGAAGCACCGGCUAACUACGUGCCAGCAGCCGCGGUAAUAC